AUGAUCACAAUGUGGCGCCGGCUACUGCACGCCGCGGGGCUUUCUCAUUCAAAGAUGCGCAUGCGCCUUGCGACAAUACUGGGUCAUCCGUUUUGUUGUUGUUUUUUUAAUCGUUGCCUGAAAUGGAGGAAUCGCGAAUUUGUGGAGAAAUCUCCGUAGUCCCAAAUGGACACCAAUAGACACCCCGUGCGUGAUGAAAGUACCCCCAUCCUACGAUCUGCACCGCCCCCACCCCUCCUAUCUCUUAUUUCCGCGUUCGUGAUGAUCAUCCCAAGCCACACCUGACGUCACCCGGGCCGUAUUUCAAAAAGCCGGGCAUUUCAGGAUGGGCAGCAUGACGAAGUAGAAGGAGAAAGUCUUCCCAACGGACACUUCCGCAAGCACGUGCCCGUUCAGUGAGAAACAGGCACGCGCGUGGCACUGGAGGCAUCGCAUCCCUGGAUUGCCCAAACCCUAAACGGAUACAACUUCGCACUCCACUAUAAACUAAAGUUAGCUCUAUUUCCGUGCUGCUACCGCCAUUCUCGACCAGGCAACUUGUAGCCUAAUACCAGCUCCGCUGUUUUCUCCUGCCGGUCUCCAAGGAGGCUGAAAGUAGCAAAUAACAGGAUUAUUGGUAUUACAUUUCACCAACUCCACCACGGUCCCCAGCCCGGAGAAAGAAAACUUGAGUUUACGCAGCCUUGUCCUAGCCGACCAAUCUUAUGCACGCUUACUUAGGGAUAAGCUCUAUUAAACUCCACGAGAAGCCUGGUUCUCCGGCUGCAAGUUCUAUAUAGAAUUCUGAAUUCGGAGUGCAUUCAGUCGAGAGGGCACAGCCUGGCCUCUUCAAACUGGAUGUUGUCUAGCUCUGAAAAGCGCUGUCAGUUUUGACAUGUAUUCAAGAUAACAGGACAGAGGAAAUGCUUCACAGCAAUCAAUGGCCCUAUAGUGGAAACGCAGUGACAUGUCAUCCGACAGGGCAACCAAAGCAGUUUCUGUUCCAAAGCUGGGCCUGAAGCCUGAUUGAAAAGGAUCUAGACAAUCUGUUUCCUCCAAGAGUGUCUGGAGCUGGUGGGACACGCUCAAGGACAUGCCCAGGGAGGGGAUACUGGCCACAGGCCUACAGUUGUUUAUUACAUCCUCUGAGUCCAGACUGGGUUUCUUUUGGAUUGGUCAAAUAAUAGUUUCCUUCAAUGGAGCUGGAAAGCACAGCUGUGUGUCAUAAGAAAUUAAUUAAUUGACAAAAGGCUUCUGCAAGCCCAAUUACUGGUUGCAUCUCUGUAUGAGUCUCUGCUUUGGGCUUUCCUUUUUCCAGUCAGGAGAGAAGCAGUCGUGCACAAACAUGAGGAGGGUAUAAAAAGAUACUUGAAGUGUAGAAAUGAAGACAGGCAGCAGUUCUUCACGUUUCAGAUAGGAUUUUUCCCAGCCGUACGUAUAGAUGCCAGGCACUGAAACUGCAAAGCGUAUGUUCUACCAGUGAACUAUAGAACUUCUCUUUAAAUGUCACAUUUUAAGGGGUCUGCAAAAGAGGUGUGUCUCAUUGGCUUUAUUUUGGGGCAUCUCAAUUUAUUGUAGCUAAUUUGCAACGUUUCUCAAAGUAAAUUGUCUUCAUGUUUAUUGCUAUGAGGAGCAAAGCUUUAUAUAGUUUUUAUUUUUAUUUUUAAAAAAGAUCUUACAUCCACACCACAGAUAUGAGGCAUUCACUUUAUGUUUUCUGUUCUGAAAACAUCCAGGUAGGUGCAGUGUUAACUGUGCUCAGAAGUUCACCACUUUGAAAACUGCACCACACUGCAGCUUGCCACAAAAAAUACUGCCUCACAGAAAACAGAAAGCCGCUAUCUGCUUGCAAUGCAGGCAUGUAUUUCUAGUGCUGGAGAUUUCCCCUAGUCUCAUUCUUCAUACCUCUGUAGUGUGGAGGCAAGGAUUCCUGGAUGCCUGUGAGGAAAGGAACUCUGAGGUUUGAACUAGGAAGUUCAAGUUCUGGCUUUAGCCUAGUGAAUCACGACAGACUAUGGGCUCCCAGGCCUCCGAGCCCCAUUCAAAUGCAGGAGAGAACAGCAAUGUGCAUCAUCAGCUUCUGCAAUUGGCAGACAUUAUUACGCCUUUGGAUUGGUCAGAUGUGGUAAAAAUACUAGGAGCCUGGCCUUCUGCCUUUGCCGGUCAGUCAAGUGAUGCCUUCUGCUUGUCGCAGUUCCAGCUCAAAUCACUGAGCUUGGGAACCCUGAGCUGGCAACUAACACCCUCCAGCUAGAGUUACAUGUAGUCCCAACCAGCCCAGUGCUGAGAUGCUUGUCUCACCACCCUCCACCAAGAUGUGUGCUCCUACAUUUCCUGCAUUAGGGUAUAUGUGGUGUGGACCACAGCAUCUUGGAAAUACCAUGAAAUUGUCCCCAAGUUCACUUGAUUUACUAGACCCUCAUCUGUGGUAGAGAGUUCUCAAAGAAUGAUAGCAGUGUGGCCAAAGCCAAACCACAUGGAAAUAAUGCUGGGGAUGCUGAGCCUCACUUAUUUGCAACCACAUGUGUAAUGUAACAGGGAAACAUUCUCUCUGGCACUGAAUCUUCCACAUCUUGUUAAACUGUCUCUGCAAAAGAUCCCAUGGUUCCCACAAGUUCUUGAUGGUGUGAGUGCUGGGGGAUUGCAUGCCAGGCCAAGUACCACAGAGUUCUCGCUGGAAGAGCAUCCUGGAGGAACCUGAGCGUGCCUAAAGGACCUGCUCAAGAGGGGUCAGCAUGGUCAGAAGCACCUCUGCUUCUACCAUGCCCCCUUCAGUGGAGGAGGUGAGGCUCCCCAUCCCAUCCCAUUACAAAGUGCAUGUCAUUUCCCUGUGUGAUGUGGGAACUGCUCCUUCAAUGCAUAAAACAGUUUAACAUUGUGAGAAAUAAAAUGCACCAUUGCCAAGCCAGAUUAGGACACUCUUGAGUACAAACGAGCAUGUGAUGAUACUCUGUCAUCUUAAACACACACAUAAAAAUGCAUGUUUCUUUUGAGAACUAUAAUUUUAUGAAUGAAGAAGCAGAGAAGGCAGAUUUCCAGCCAGCUUGCAUAUACAUCUGGAAUACAUAUUAUUGCUUCCAUUAGAAGCAACAGCUCUUGGUUGGAACAUCCAAGGGAAGAGUUAGCUGGAGAUGCCAUAAGGAGAAAUACACAGGCAAAGCCAAUGUGUGAUCAUCCAUCCAUCCAUCCAUCCUCUCUCUCUCUCUCUCUCUCUCUCUCUCUCUCUCUCUCUCUCUCACACACACACACACACACACACACACACACACACACACACACACACGCAUAGCUAUAACUGAGCGAAAGCGUUCAAAGAACACGGGUCCCCAGCUCCUGAGGGCCCUCCAGAUCCCUCCCUCCCUAUUUUCUUCAUUGUCUCCCUCACUCUGGGGGGCCACCAGAGAGAGGGAUGAACACAGGCCCCCUCUCCCCUAGCUACGCCCCUGCGCACAUACACACACACACCCCUCAUGCCAGAUGUCUGAAGUUAUUUCCCAUAAGCAUAUGUCCUCACCAAGGUAUCUCCCUUCCUUUACCCUUACUCCUCAAAACUCUUUUAAAACACCCCCAACACCUUCUUGUUAAAGACUUCCUCCUUCUGAAUGUCUGGCAAAGUAUCUUCCACAUAGUUGAUUUCCCCUCUAUUUUAUUACAAGUGGAUGAGCAAUAUAUCAAUGAUUUAAGCCCUACGGCAAAACAGUAUGAAAAGAUACAAACAGCAGAUAACUUUUGUAAAAAUAAAAAUAAAAAAAAAUCAAAGGAACAGAAAUGAGUUCAAUAAAAUCGUUUGAGUAGCAAACAAAACGUAAGCUAAGAAGAUUAGCCAUAAUUUUAUUUUAUAAAUUCCAUUGAAAUGAAUAGGUUAGUUGCAACUAAGUUCAGUUGCUUUCAGUGGGAUGUAGUCAUGACUCAUUUUACUUGAAAUCAGACCUUUGAAGAGUUUUAAACAUAUUGAUUUUGCAUGAAGCAUAUUUUGAUGACUGUAUAUUA